rnacentral:rRNA from 1 species
GGGGAUAACAUUUGGAAACAGAUGCUAAUACCGCAUAGAUCCAAGAACCGCAUGGUUCUUGGCUGAAAGAUGGCGUAAGCUAUCGCUUUUGGAUGGACCCGCGGCGUAUUAGCUAGUUGGUGAGGUAAUGGCUCACCAAGGCGAUGAUACGUAGCCGAACUGAGAGGUUGAUCGGCCACAUUGGGACUGAGACACGGCCCAAACUCCUACGGGAGGCAGCAGUAGGGAAUCUUCCACAAUGGACGCAAGUCUGAUGGAGCAACGCCGCGUGAGUGAAGAAGGCUUUCGGGUCGUAAAACUCUGUUGUUGGAGAAGAAUGGUCGGCAGAGUAACUGUUGUCGGCGUGACGGUAUCCAACCAGAAAGCCACGGCUAACUACGUGCCAGCAGCCGCGGUAAUACGUAGGUGGCAAGCGUUAUCCGGAUUUAUUGGGCGUAAAGCGAGCGCAGGCGGUUUUUUAAGUCUGAUGUGAAAGCCCUCGGCUUAACCGAGGAAGCGCAUCGGAAACUGGGAAACUUGAGUGCAGAAGAGGACAGUGGAACUCCAUGUGUAGCGGUGAAAUGCGUAGAUAUAUGGAAGAACACCAGUGGCGAAGGCGGCUGUCUGGUCUGUAACUGUCGCUGAGGCUCGAAAGCAUGGGUAGCGAACAGGAUUAGAUACCCUGGUAGUCCAUGCCGUAAACGAUGAAUG